rnacentral:lncRNA from 1 species
UUUCGUUAAAAUUUCUUUACAUAUAAUCGAAAUCACAAUUAAAAUGACACAUAAUCAUCAAAUUAGAAGAAAAACGAGUAACUCCAAAUCUGUAAAUCCAAUUAUUAUAUUAUUUCUAAAAUAGAGAAGCAAUACAUCACUCAUAUUUGACAAUCAAGUAUCUUACCCCCAAAAUUUAAAAAGAAAAUAAUAAAAAUAAUCUACCUAUCACCACUCCUCCGCCACCGCCACCGCCGGCGCGCCAAAAAAUCAAGAAUCGAAUUGAAUCACCAUUUUUCACCGCCGUAGAAAACCCCAAUUCAAUCAUAUACUAAACAUGCCCAGAAUUUAAACAAAAAAUUACGAGAAAUUAAUACCAGAAAAUUUAAGAUUUAACAGUAACCUCUAUAAGUAGAAGAGCUUCGCGUAUGAAGACGAUUGAGUGUUUCUUCAGAGAAUCUCUCUCCUGGCGGCGUAACUGUACUGAGAUCUACGGACGUUAUCUUGACGCUUCUUGUACACGAAUCCUCCCAGCCCUACCAAACUGAC